ensembl:lncRNA
UCCAAUAUCCGUAAAUAAAAGUAGUUGUCUCUGGACCUAUGCAGACUCUUUAGCAGGGUCUUUUGUGAUACAACGAGGGGAAAUCGUUUGAAGAUAAAAGAGGAGGGAUUUAGACUGGGUAUAAGGAAAACAUUUUUUAUGAUAAGGGUGGUGAGGAAGUGGCACAGGUUGCUCAAAAAGGUGGUGGUUCUCCAUCCUUGGAGACAUUCAAGGUCAGGCUGGGUAGGGUUCUGAGCACUGAUGGAGCUAUGGGUGUCCCUGUGUGCUGCAGGGCAUUGGACAAGAUGGCCUUUAAGAGUCCUUUCCAACUCAAACGGUUCUAUGAUUCUAUGAACCGAAGCUGAGAUCUCUAUUGCCUAGGGCCAUAGGUGCCCUGUUACAGUACCCAGUACUUUUAAGGAGGUUACCUGCAAAAAAGUUUGCUUGCCAUUCCUGCUACUCACUGCUUGUCCUCCUGAAGACAGCAAGGUGACAUCUUUUGUCUGAGUCGACCCUAUACCAGAGACACAUGUCCUCCUUCUCUUUCCCUAGGAGAUGAUGCUGUUUAACUACUCCUGCACAAACAGGUCUGAAAGUUGACCAGGUUCUUGUGUGCUGUAGUCCUGCCCUCUUUUUCUGCUAGUUUUUUCCACAUAAGUGCCAAACAAACAGUGCACAGUGACCUUAUAGGGGGCUGAGAAUCCAGCCCUUGUGUCUGAUAGCAGUCAUCACAGCUGUUAGUGUACUGCUGCAUGAGAACUUUGCUAUGGGAUUCACAACAUCAUCCCAAAUUCAAGCUGCACGUUUCUUAAUUAUUGGUACUCUUCUGCAGUACAAGAAAUAUUUGCAUAAUUUCCCAGCAGUAUGAAACAGAAAAAUCAAGACAAUAAAUGAAAAGAUGCACCAAUUCACCACUGAACUGUGUGUACAUUUGCUAGCAUUGUUCAUUAUUUUGCAUAUCUUAGGCAGACACCAGGAAGAGCAAAUCCUCCAUUUGGCUUACACAGAAUCAAACUGACUAGCACUAGCUGAGGAGCUGGCCCUGUGUUACUGUGUUUAUUCCACGAGUUUUUCAUGGAGCCCAGAUAGCUUUGGAAAGAAUGCCAAUUCAGACAGUGAUCCUGCAAAUAUUUAAGCAGUGAAUAUUGUUGCUGCUACAGGCAGAGCUGCUGGCACCAGUGUGGCUGCUCACAGCAGUGGAGUGAGCCAGGGGAAGAGAGUUUGUGAAGCCAAGGCCGUGCAGAGCAAAUAUGUUUUACCAUUUGUUUUUUAAUGGUAUGGGAGCACAUCACACAGGCAGGCAGGCACACCAUGCACAGGUAAGGGAGAAGUGUGAGCCAUGGCUUUGAGCUUAGCAGAAGAGGAAACAGGUGAUGGGAUUGGCACUGGGACUCCAAUGCCUCCACAGAAGGUCUCCAGCUAUGACUUCAAGGCUCUUAUACCUGAUGGUCCCUUCUGCAAAUAGGAAUUAGGGACCUAAAGCAGGUAAGUGCUACAACCCAUUGCUUCCCAUUCAAUGAUGAUGACUUUAAGCUAGUCCCGCUGCCCAUGUGAAAACUCAAGACUUUUUUUGACCCUAUUUUGUCUACGUUUGUGAAUGGCUCAGAUACUUUCCUUCCUGGCACCAUAUAACUCAAAAAGCCAUUGCGUCGGUGAUGUAUUUUGAAGGGAGACCAUUCUCACGCUGUACUACAUCAGGGGAAUGACAAGUCCUUGUGGUGUACAUCAGCAGAAAGACGACACUCAGCUUUUGUGGCUUAAUGGCUGCAAGAUAUAUCAUGGAAAGUGCUGUCUUAUUCCAGAAGCCUGAGGGGAGGCACAAGGUGUUAUCACCAUAAUGAAAGAGAAAAGCUGGGCAGAUUUGGAAUCUGCUGUCCCAGGAUGACAGCAACAGGCAGAGGGCCAUGGAAUUGUAUCUGUAUGGUAGGUAGGGAUUGCGUUUCCCCCAUCACUUCAUCCCAAGCGUGUUCCUAAAGCCAUCCCUUUAGGAUUUAUCUUUUUUUGCUUAAUUUUUACCAUCUGCUUCAAUCCCACGGACUUUCAGUGGAUUUGCAUGCGUUUAAUUUUAAGCAUGUUUUGUUACCACACUACUUAGGGAUGGUAAUCUGGGUUUUAUAAUGCUGAGCUUAGUUCUGUAUAUUCAGAAGAAGAAGAGAAUAAGGAAAUAAUUCGAUAAAGUCUAGCAAAGAAUGAGGAAAGACUGAUUUGUAAAGAAAUGACUCAAAUGUUCCUCGUUGGUAUUUGUUACUGAGGACUCCAGCAUAUAUUAAACAAUGAAGAGAAGAGGAGCGGAAGCUCCACCAGCUCCCAACAGCAGGUGAAAGCACAGCCUGCAAAGGAGGAGCUGCAAGGGGACACAUGUACCUUUGUGAGUCCAGAAGUGGACAUGACACAGAGAUGACCACAAAGCAAAGCCCUGGGAUUACACACAAAGAUGUGGAUUUCUAAGAGGGCCUGAUGGAUCCCAAAGCCUCAAAGGCAGCUCUUUCAUUGCAGAGCACAGUGAUGAAUUCAGUAAGCGUGGCAGGGUUGUAAUCUACCCAACCUGGAACAAGACGUCUAGAUUGAAGCUGGAGGUUUUCAACUCUGAUGCCACCAUCCAACUACUGGCUCAGGCUCCAUCCCAUAGAUUUAAAGCCUGACAGAAGCUCCCAGGCUACGCUAUAUAAAAUCUGAUCAUUACAUUCAGCAUGUUGUUAUAAAUUAAGUAUUGAUAGUAAGUUCGCUGGCAGUGCUGUCUUUCUUCAGUAAAAAUAUACCAGCAGCAUCAAAUGUAACUAGAUUUAAUUUCAUGCUGAAGAGUCUGUGAAUAUUCAUUUUUAAAUAGUCACCAAGAGCCUAAUUUUAAUUUGUGUGAUGUUUCUGCUAAUACCAAUGCCUACUUAAAAUAACCAUUAAAAAGCCUUAAGAAUAUUAACAGGGAAUUCUUACAGAAAUGCACUAGAGUUUUAUGUUUUGAAUUACCAUUACAGGCUUUUUGGUUUAACUCACGUUAAACAGAUUCAUUAUUAACGAGAAUGUGUGCAAAUUAAAACAAGCCCAUUAGAAUCUAAAAUUCCGGGCUAAAAAAGAUUAGGGACAUUCGAGAUAUUUUCUUCUGAAGGAAUAAGUGUAAUAAGAAAUGAUAGGGAGUGAAAACCAGUACUACAAAAGCACAAGAAGUCAACAGAUUGGAGCCUUGAAUUGUGAUCUAGCACAGGGCUGGCUCGGGAACAGGGGAGAUAACGGGACUGACCUGGAGUUGUGCUCUGGAUUUCACCCUGCACAGCAGAAACUGCCCAACAGGUUGCCAAAAUCCAGCAUGCCAUGUGCACCAAGCAGCAUGGAUUGAGCCCCUGGAAGAAAGCUCUUUGCUCCAGCAUUAAAAUAUACACAGGGUGAAUCCAUGCUAAGGUUUAAGCAGCAGUUAAGUGACUUCACACUGCAAAAUGUACUUCUACUUCAGUUGCUUUCACAGGCUUUGGCUCCCUGUUCCAGUAUUGAUCUCCCCUGCUAAGUAACCCUCAAUUCGAUAGAGCCAUCAAUGAACAGUCUGCUGCUCUAAUAAAUCACAUGAAUAUUUGCACUGCCCCGUGUAAAAUACAUCUUUUGACAUAUUGGGUGCUUUACGUGCCCGUUCCCUGUCUAGUUACCUCUGUCCUUGUCUUUACCUGUUGCUUUGUGGCAGGGGGACAGUGACCCUGUCCUCAGCUCCAGUGAGCUGCAGUGAAUUAUCUGUGUUAAAACUCCCUCCUGUCAAGCUGCCAAAUCUUCUGCAUUAAUCCUGAAAAUUACAAUUAAUGAGCGCUAAGAGGAUCUUCCCACCUUUGUGUGGGGCUCUGCUCCGUUGUAAUGAUUCCUGCUUCUCCGCCAGCAUCUGGAAGCCUCCUGUGGUCCAGGCUGUUGGCUCUCGGGCAGUGUGCUCAGGAGAAGGCAGCAGUCAGGGCUUCUUCCCUUUCUUCUCUGCCAACAGAAAUGGUCUUCGGUGAUGAUGGGGGAGAUUGGAGCUAACAGGAGCCCACAGCCAUCGGAGCACGGAAUGCCUCCCCCACAGUGCAAAAGGUCACAUCAUCACUCCAUCAUCACUCCAGGUAUUCUGAAGUUGUCGUUUCUGUGACCUACGAUGAGGUAAAGCUCGGGGCUGGGAAUUAGCUUGCCAUAGGUGUACAGUUCAACUUCAGUUGGCUGAGGACUUGAAAUUGCCCCUCUGAGGCUCUGGGAUUCAAUUCCCUAGCCUUUUAAUGUUGUUACAGAUUCCGUUCCUUGAAGACUACAAAAAAAAAAAAAAAAAAGUA